rnacentral:rRNA from 1 species
GGCUCAGGAUGAACGCUAGCUACAGGCUUAACACAUGCAAGUCGAGGGGAAACGAUAGAGAAAGCUUGCUUUUUCUAGGCGUCGACCGGCGCACGGGUGAGUAACGCGUAUCCAACCUGGCCCAUCACUUGGGGAUAACCUUGCGAAAGUAAGACUAAUACCCCAAUGACGUCUCUAGAAGACAUCUGAAAGAGAUUAAAGAUUUAUCCGGUGAUGGAUGGGGAUGCGUCUGAUUAGCUUGUUGGCGGGGUAACGGCCCACCAAGGCGACGAUCAGUAGGGGUUCUGAGAGGAAGGUCCCCCACAUUGGAACUGAGACACGGUCCAAACUCCUACGGGAGGCAGCAGUGAGGAAUGUUGGUCAAUGGACGAGAGUCUGAACCAGCCAAGUAGCGUGCAGGAUGACGGCCCUAUGGGUUGUAAACUGCUUUUAUAAGGGAAUAAAGUGAGUCUCGUGAGGCUUUUGCAUGUACCUUAUGAAUAAGGACCGGCUAAUUCCGUG